rnacentral:pre_miRNA from 1 species
UUUACUUCUCUAGUUGUAGGACUUCCAUUCAGCCAGCUUUCUGGCAGUUCUGGAUGAUGGUAGUUCUGUAUUUUAGUUGUGGU